GACCGGCAGCCAGCUGAGCACGUGCAGAGAAACACACAGACAUCAGCCAACUGCAGCCGAUCCCCCACCGAGACAAGCCGAGGUGUCAGAUGUUUGACAGGGGCCGGGGUGCAGAUGUUUGACAGAUGUUUGACAGGUGACGUAAGCCGGGCUCCUCACCUUCCUGUGGCUCAGGUGAGAGUGUGAAGCAGAAAACGACCUGCGGGGGUUCGUCCUCUGCACGACUCUCCUCACGAGAAGCAUCGUGACCUGCUGCACAAACAGAAACCGACAGAACUGGAACCGCUUAUCGUCUCAUUCGGGAUAAGUAGAGGUCGCAAACAUGUGCAGGACGAAGCCGAACAACAAGGUCGCGUUUUCUCUGAUGUCACCAACAAGCGACGGAAACCCGCGGUUGUCGCCACCUGGCGGCAGAUGUGGGUUAAAGCACUCUUGUUUCCCUGAAUAUGAGAAAUUCUUGAAGAAAAUACACAAAGACAUGAAUUGAACUCAACACAGGAAGUAGAGCAGGUCCAGAGCAGAGAUGGUGGGCUCCUCCGGUUUCUUGAUCUCUGGUUUGGGCAGCUUGAUCCGACUCAUGGCGACCACUCCGCAGACAGCGAAGUGAGUCCCGAUGCUCCCCACGCCCAGCCAGAAGGACCAGUCCAGGCCAUCCUCCAGGACAACCAGGACGAACAGCUUCUCCUGGUGGUUAGCCACCCGCUCGGUCAGACGGUGGUGUCUCAGGGCCGCCAGGAAACACAAAACACCCAGGGCACCGAAAAGAGCUGGAAAAUACAGAACAUGGGAAGGAAAUGCAAAGAGAGGGGUAAACCAAGAGCUUGUAUAACACUAUCAAGGGGCAAACAUGAGAUGCAAAUUGAAAAGUAAACCUAGGUCAUGAGGAAAGACAGAGUCCGCUGAUAUACCUGCUAUUAAGUUCCACAGGUAGAGUCCUUUGUGCCCCUUGAUGCUCUGGUAGGGAAUCUUGCGUGCGUUGUAAAUACAGAAGGACAGACUGACCACAGCGAAGCCGAUGGCCACCAGCAGGAAGAGAAUCACCAUCAUGUGAAGGCCGCUGUUCAAUGUUCUCACGAGCUUUGGAAAAACUGGACAAUCAGACAGAAUCAGAGGAAAAGAGAUCAAUCAGCCCAGUGAGCAGGUUUGUCUGAGAAGCGAUGAGGAAAGGAAACAACACAUUCUGCAGCCACCAGACAUUAGUCAUGCUGUUCUGAAUAUUCUGGAUUAAACAGAUGUUGGAUUGUUUACAUGCAGCCUUUGACCUUACUGAAUAUUCUGGAUUAAACAGAUGUUGGAUGGUUAACAUGCAGCCUUUGACCUUACUGAAUAUUCUGGAUUAAACAGAUGUUGGAUGGUUUUCAUGCAGCCUUUGACCUUACUGACUAUUCUGGAUUAAACAGAUGUUGGAUGGUUUACAUGCAGCGUUUGACCUUACUGACUAUUCUGGAUUAAACAGAUGUUGGAUGGUUUACAUGCAGCGUUUGACCUUACUGACUAUUCUGGAUUAAACAGAUGUUGGAUGGUUUACAUGCAGCCUUUGACCUUACUGAAUAUUUUGGUUCGCCUCCUCCCGAGCCCGCACCUCUUGCUCUUCCCUCCCUGGAACAAACCGUAGUAAAUGUCCCCGACGAACUGCUCCAGCUCCGGGCUGGACGCGUUCACUAUGUCCACCCCGGUUUUACACAGGAUCCGUCCGGUGACCCAGCGCUCCGUGGCCAGGGCCACGACCAGGAGGACCACCGAGCCGACGCAGAGCACCGAGGCCACUGAGAACGUUAUCCGUUUCCACAGAGAAGGCAUCUUACGAGCCCAUGGUGCCCCGGGGGAGGUAACAGGACGCCGGGCAGCGACCGCGUUGUGCACCCGACGAUCACCAUGAGUUUACUAUAUAGAUUGAAAGGUCAAAAUAAAUCAUCAUCCAACAGAAGAGUGUUGUUCCUCUAGCUGAAAUGUUGCGUGUAUUGAGUCGCAGGGGAUGAGAAACAGAAUCUAUGACGGUCAAGGAGAUCGCUUACCGGGAGAAACCCUAUCCCUGCCCCGCCGUGCUGCUCUCUCUCUGUCUCUAUCUCUCUUUCUCUGUCUCACACACACACACACAUUCUCUCUUUAAUCAGGGGUUGAAUUAACCUUUGAGACUUGGUAUUUGGAUCUAGUAAAGUAACAUCUAAUUGGUGACCUUAGUGCAGCAGUAAAACAAUGUAAGACAAAUUAAUUGUGUUAGAUUGAUGGAUGUGGUUAUUUUUUAACACACACACUAAAGGUCACUUCAUGGCAGCAAUCAGUUUAGCAUUCAGUGUUUAGGCCUUGUGGUCCUAAAUCUCAUAUCCUGCUCAAUGCAUGAUCCUACAUCUCAUGUCCUGCUCUAUGCAUGCUCCACUUAGCCUACUUAGCCUAUAUUGGUUCUGACUUGUGCAUAUUGUUAUCAAAGAUAAUGACAAUAAAGUUCUUUUGA